AGUGAACGCUGGCGGCAGGCCUAACACAUGCAAGUCGAACGGCGGGGCGGACGGGUGAGGAAUACAUCGGAAUCUACUCUGUCGUGGGGUAUAACGUAGGGAAACUUACGCUAAUACCGCAUACUAUCAGAUGAGCCUAGGUCGGAUUAGCUAGUUGGUGGGGUAAAGGCCUACCAAGGCGACGAUCCGUGACUGGUCUGAGAGGAUGAUCAGUAACACUGGAACUGAGACACGGUCCAGACUCCUACGGGAGGCAGCAGUGGGGAAUAUUGGACAAUGGGCGAAAGCCUGAGCCAGCCAUGCCGCGUGUGUGAAGAAGGUCUUCGGAUUGUAAAGUACUUUCAGCGGGGAGGCGUUACCCGCAGAAGAAGCACCGGCUAACUCCGUGCCAGCAGCCGCGGUAAUUC
rnacentral:rRNA from 1 species